rnacentral:rRNA from 1 species
UGCGUAGGCGGGUUUCUAAGUCAGAGGUGAAAGCCUGGAGCUCAACUCCAGAACUGCCUUUGAUACUGGAAGUCCUGAGUAUGGCAGAGGUGAGUGGAACCGCGAGUGUAGAGGUGAAAUUCGUAGAUAUUCGCAAGAACACCAGUGGCGAAGGCGACCACCUGGACUGAUACUGACACUGAGGUGCGAAAGCGUGGGGAGCAAACA